rnacentral:tRNA from 1 species
GCGAAGGUGGCGGAAUUGGUAGACGCGCUAGCUUCAGGUGUUAGUGUCCUUACGGACGUGAGGGUUCAAGUCCCUCUGGAAUUGGUAGACGCGCUAGCUUCAGGUGUUAGUGUCCUUACGGACGUGAGGGUUCAAGUCCCUCUCUUCGCACCA